GGAAGGAUCAUGGUACAGCAGAGGACCCAGAUGUACCACAAAACAUGUGCCCAAUUGUGUCCUGCCUCCAUAUUUGGAGUGGUAUCUUCUAGACGCCAUACCUAAUUCCUCCCUCUAAUAUGUUAAGAAAAAAGGUAGAUUUAAGGUUUCACAGAUCCAGCUUUGAGCAGGCCUAUGUGUGAAUGAUCAUAUCAAUUCAACCUUAUCAGGAUGGUUGGUAUGCACAAGCUUACCUAAGGCAGCUGUAGCACUUCACUAAUGGCUGAGAAGUCUGUCCUGUCUGCCAAAGAACUGGAUGUUGCAAUAUGAAAUAUUGUAUUACUUAGGGCUAUAGCUUCAAAAUGCACCUAAUGCCCACCUUAGGGAAACAAGCCUUUGGUUUCAGUAGGGCUUUGAAAAAAAACGAGUUGGGAGUUCGUUGUCCAUAUUUUGUAGAUUUUAAAACAAGGCAAGGCACUUCUCCACCAACCUCCCUGCAGCUCUUGAUUAUUUUUUUUCUGCUCAGUAGUACUGUGUGUACUGUGUCCUGCUGAACGACUCAGGUCCCUGAUGCCAACCAGAAGCUGAACUGGUAUGCUCUAUCCAUCCUGACAAUGGACUUUUCAUGUUUCACAAAGGAAUAUGGGAGAUGUUAUGCACUGGCAUAGCAAAGUUCGCUCACAGCCCAACCUAGAUUGUGGAUUGCCAUUUGAACAGUCCCUAUCCUAGAAUCCUAUGCUUAAUUUCUCCUGUCUUUCUUUUCUCAUUGGUUCUCAGGAUUUAGGCCAGCAAUAACAGCCAAAAGAUUUUGUCCCUACUAACUGGUUUGGAUUAUACAUUGUAUUUGCAGUUAAGCAUCCCAUGAUUACAGUUUUCCCCUCCCUUGUUGCAUUGCUUGCCUAUCUGCAAAUGUCACAGAUACCCACCUUCUUCUACUGUGAAAAAAUGAGUAUAGUGUAAG